rnacentral:rRNA from 1 species
AUUGAACGCUGGCGGCAUGCUUUACACAUGCAAGUCGAACGGCAGCACGGGGGCAACCCUGGUGGCGAGUGGCGAACGGGUGAGUAACACAUCGGAACGUGUCCAGUUGUGGGGGAUAACCCAUCGAAAGGUGGGCUAAUACCGCAUGAGCUGGCAACAGGAAAGCGGGGACCCGCAAGGGCCUUGUGCGAUUGGAGCGGCCGAUGUCCGAUUAGCUAGUUGGUGGGGUAAAGGCCUACCAAGGCUUCGAUCGGUAGCUGGUCUGAGAGGAUGAUCAGCCACACUGGGACUGAGACACGGCCCAGACUCCUACGGGAGGCAGCAGUGGGGAAUUUUGGACAAUGGGGGCAACCCUGAUCCAGCCAUGCCGCGUGAGUGAAGAAGGCC